UACGGGGGGAGCAAGCGUUGUUCGGAUUUACUGGGCGUAAAGGGCGCGUAGGUGGCCCGGUCAGUUCGUGGUGAAAGCGCGGGGCUCAACCCUGCGUCGGCCAUGAAUACUGCCGCGGCUGGAGCACUGUAGAGGCAGGCGGAAUUCCGGGUGUAGCGGUGGAAUGCGUAGAGAUCCGGAAGAACACCGGUGGCGAAGGCGGCCUGCUGGGCAGUUGCUGGACACUGAGGCGCGACAGCGUGGGGAGCAAACAGGG
rnacentral:rRNA from 1 species